AAUAGAUACCCCGGUAGUCCACGCCGUAAACGAUGAGUGCUAAGUGUUAGAGGGUUUCCGCCCUUUAGUGCUGCAGCUAACGCAUUAAGCACUCCGCCUGGGGAGUACGGUCGCAAGACUGAAACUCAAAGGAAUUGACGGGGGCCCGCACAAGCGGUGGAGCAUGUGGUUUAAUUCGAAGCAACGCGAAGAACCUUACCAGGUCUUGACAUCCUCUGACAACUCUAGAGAUAGAGCGUUCCCCUUCGGGGGACAGAGUGACAGGUGGUGCAUGGUUGUCGUCAGCUCGUGUCGUGAGAUGUUGGGUUAAGUCCCGCAACGAGCGCAACCCUUGAUCUUAGUUGCCAGCAUUUAGUUGGGCACUCUAAGGUGACUGCCGGUGACAAACCGGAGGAAGGUGGGGAUGACGUCAAAUCAUCAUGCCCCUUAUGACCUGGGCUACACACGUGCUACAAUGGAUGGUACAAAGGGCCGCAAGACCGCGAGGUCAAGCCAAUCCCAUAAAACCAUUCUCAGUUCGGA
rnacentral:rRNA from 1 species